rnacentral:misc_RNA from 1 species
AACGCACCUUGCACCCUCUGGUAUUCCGGAGGGUAUGCCUGUCUGAGUGUCAUGUAGACUCAACCUUCCGGGUUCUACCCGGCUGGUUGGAUUUGGGCGUUGCCUAUUGCUGGCUCGCCUUAAAAGCGUUAGUGGUGUGAUGGGUGGUUAGGCGUAAUACGUUUCGUCUUGUCAUCUUGAAGCAUUGCUCAUAACAACUAUACUGUAACUCUGGCCUCAGAUCAGGUAGGACUACCCGCUGAACUUAA